AUGUUUCCGCUGCUCCCGGAAGGACGAGCCGAGCAGCCGCACACUCUGCCCGAAUCCAGAGGGGAGCGCUACGUUAACCACAAGGCGCCGCCGAGGCUUAAAACAGCCGCCGGCGCAGCUGCUUUCAGGGGACGCAAACAGCCACGAGCCAGAGCGGUAACCUGGUCUCCCGUCGGCAGGUCCCUGGAUGCCCCGCGGCGCACCGUCCUUGGCCGUGCAGUGCUUCCCAAUGGCCGGAAGUUGACCCCGCCCACCAGGAUGACGCUGCGCGAGCGGCUGAGAGAGAAGAUCUCGGCGGCGUUCUACCGCCACGGGCUGCUGUGUGCCUCCUACCCGGUGCCCAUCAUCCUCUUCACCUCCGCCAGCAUCCUCACCUGCUGCUAUCCGUUAUUGAGGCUUCCCCUUCCCGGGACGGGUCCUGUGGAGUUCACCACGGGGGUGCGAGACUACAGCGUCCCUUCCCAUGAGCCUCAGGGAGACCUCGGAGAACGGCCCGACUGGUACCGGGGUCCUCCGGUCGCCUACAUCCAGCAGGUGUUGGUGAAGGCGUCGGUGUCUCCGUGGGACAGCAGCCUGGUGCCGGUGGACGUGUUUCGGUCGCCGCUGGGUCGAGCCUUCAGCCUGCUGGAGGAGAUACGCAACCACGUCCACUCAGACGGCUCCGGGGUUCGCAGCCUGGAGACGCUGUGCCUCCAGGUGACGGACCUGUUCCCGGGGUUACGGCGGAUGCAGUCGGUGCUGCCCGAGCACGGCUGCCUGCUCGUGUCGCCCGGCAACUACUGGCAGAACCAGCGGGAGCUGUUCGACCUGGACCCCGACCUCCUCAAGACCAUCCAGAAACACGAGCCGAAGGGCCUGCACACCUCGGCCACGCUGCGAGACCUGCUGUUUGGCGUCCCCGGGAAGUACACCGGGGUCAGCCACUACAACAGGAAGAGGGUGGUGACUUACACCAUCACCGUUGUGCUGUCCAGCUACGAUGCGAGGUUCCUGGGCAGCCUGCGGGGCCGUCUGAAGCAGCUCCACCCGUCGGCCAACUGCAGCCUGAGAGACGACCACAUGGUCCACGUCCACUUCAAAGAGGAGAUCGGCAUCGCCGAGCUCAUCCCCCUCGUCACCACGUACAUCAUCCUAUUCGCCUACAUCUACUUCUCCACACGUAAGAUCGACAUGGUGAAGUCCAAGUGGGGUCUGGCUCUGGCCGCCGUGGUGACGGUCCUCAGCUCCCUGCUCAUGUCCGUGGGCCUCUGCACGCUGUUCGGCCUCACGCCCACGCUCAACGGAGGGGAGAUCUUUCCUUACCUGGUGGUGGUGAUCGGCCUGGAGAACGUCUUGGUCCUCACCAAGUCCGUGGUGUCCACCCCCGUCGACCUCGAGGUCAAACUCCGCAUCGCUCAGGGUCUUAGUAAUGAGAGCUGGUCUAUCAUGAAGAACAUGGCCACUGAGCUGUGCAUCAUCCUCAUUGGAUACUUCACCCUGGUGCCGGCUAUCCAGGAGUUCUGUCUGUUCGCUGUGGUCGGGCUGGUGUCGGACUUCUUCCUGCAGAUGUUCUUCUUCACCACGGUGCUGUCUAUAGACAUCCGACGCAUGGAGCUGGCGGAUUUGAACCGCCGGCUGCCGGCCGAAGCGGGUCUGCCGCCACCCAAGCCGGGCCCGCUGCGUAUCCGGGAGGUGCCCCCUCCCCCGCGGCCCUCCCCCCACACGAUCACCCUGCAGACCCCGGCCUUCAGGAACCUCCGGCUCCCCAAGAGGCUGCGCGUGGUGUACUUCCUGGCCCGCACGCGCCUGGCUCAGCGCAUCAUCAUGGUCGGCACGGUUAUCUGGAUCGGCAUCCUCGUCUACACCGACCCGGCCGGGAUACGCACCUACCUGGCCGCGCAGGUGUCCGAGCAAAGCCCCCUGGGAGAUCCCGGAGGAGGCGGCCUGGCCCCUCACCUCGGGGUGGCGCCCGUCUUUCGUGGAGGCGAUCCCACCAGCGCCCUCAGCAUCCACCCGCCGCCGGAUCCCACUCCCGUACCCGAGAACCAGUCACAGGGCCACCACGGCGCCGCUCAGGCGGGGCCCCUCCCCCAGGCUUCGCCCCCCGCCGUGCCCCAGAUCACCUGGGGAGCGGAGGACGAGGAGGGCUGGAGGAGGCUCUCCUUCAGGCACUGGCCGUCGCUCUUCAGCUACUACAACAUCACUUUAGCCAAGAGGUACAUCAGCAUCCUGCCCGUCAUUCCCGUCACCGUUCACCUGAGUCCUCAAGAGGCCAUCGAGACGCGUCACCCUCAGGACACGAGGCACCCCCCUCCAUCCAUCCCCAAGGUGUCUGCAGAUCUACAGACAGACCUCACCCUCUACAAGGUGGCCGCUCUGGGCCUGGCGGCCGGCGUCCUGCUGGUUCUGCUGCUCUUCUGCCUCUACCGGGUCCUCUGCCCGCGGAACUACGGGCAGAACGGCGUCGCUCACGGGCGCCGGCGCCGAGGCGACCUGCCCUGCGACGACUACGGCUACUCGCCGCCCGUCAGCGAGAUCUCGCCGCUGCUGCUGAGGGGCCACAGCAUGGACAUCGAGUGUUUGGCCAGCGACGGGAUGCUGCUGGCCAGCUGCUGCCUGGCCGGACAGAUUCGGGUUUGGGACACUCAGACCGGCGACUGUUUGACCGUCAUCCCGAACGAGGGGCUCCGACGGAGCAGCAGCAGCAAUGGCUGCUGGGAGCAGUGGGACGGCGGUUACGGCGCCGCGGAGUCGGGGCUCCUCGGCCCCGAGACCCUCGGCCCCGCUUGCGAGGAGGAGGGGGGAGGCGGCUACCCGCUGAGGCGCCGCACCGCCCCCACGUGGCCGACCCUGUUCAACGACCAGCCCGACCUCACCCCGCUCAUCGACACCAACUUCGCCUCCCAGCCCCCGUCCCACCUCUGCACGCCGCCCCGGCACGGUUUCGACUUCGGGGGUCUGGUGGAGCGCGCCUACAUGGAGCACGAGGCCCCCUCGCCGUCCGCCUACCCCUCGCCUUCCUCCGCCUCCUCCUCGCCGCCCUCGGGCGCUCAGCCCCACAGGCGACCCAGCUUAGGGGACGCGGCCGCCUUCUCGGCCCAGGACAGAGCCUCGGCGGCGGGGACGCAGGCGGCGGCGGACGGGGAGAGCUCCGUCUGGGCCCUGGAGCUCAGAGGCAAUCUGAUCGCUGCCGGGCGGAGCAGCGGAAAACUGGAGCUGUGGGAUGCAGUCGAAGGGUCGCUCCGCUGCGUCAAUGAAGACGGAGGGUCCGGGAUCACGGCGCUCGCCUUCCUCAACAACAGAAUCGUCGCGGCUCGGCUGAACGGGUCUCUGGACUUCUUCACGGUGGAGAUAAACAAACCUCUGGGUCUGCUGCAGUACAGAGGUGCCCCCGGGCGGGGCAGCGUGCCUCCCUCUCCCUGUUACAGCAGCGAGGACGUGAUCAGCUGCCAGCUGACGCGCUCGGUCCAGUGCGCCCACCAGAAGCCGAUCACGGUGCUGCGAGCGGCCGCCGGGCGAGUCGUCACCGGCAGCCAGGACCACACCGUCCGGGUUUACCGUCUGGAGGACUCGUGCUGCCUCUUCACUCUGCAGGGUCACUCUGGAGGGAUCACAGCCAUCUACAUAGACCAGACGAUGGUUCUGGCGAGCGGCGGUCAAGACGGCGCCAUCUGCCUGUGGGACGUCCUGACGGGGAGUCGCGUCAGCCAUGUUUACGGUCACCGCGGCGACGUCACGUCGCUCGUCUGCACCAUCUCUUGCGUCAUCAGCUCGGGGCUGGAUGACCUCAUCUGUAUCUGGGACCGCAGCACCGGGAUCAAGCUCUACUCCAUACAGCAGGAGGUGGGUUGCGGGGCCAGCCUGGGCGUGAUCUCCGAGUCCCUCCUGGUGACGGGGGGCCAGGGCUGCGUGUCCUUCUGGGACCUGAACUUCGGCGACCUGCUGCAGACGGUGUACCUCGGCCAGAGCAGCGACGGCCAGGGCGUCCGGCAGCUGCUGGUGCUCGACAACGCCGCCAUCAUCUGUGACUUUGGCAGCGAGCUCAGCCUGGUGUACGUGCCCUCGGUGCUGGAGAAACUGGACUGAGGAGGGGGGGGAGGGGGCAAAAGAACAUCCUUUUACCCGUUCAUCACGUCGACCCCCCCCCUCUUUUGACGACGACCCUUUGAUCCCCAAUCGGUGACAUUUAGGAGUUCAAGAAAAGCUGGAUGCGUCUCACUCGGAGGAGCCGCCUGUGCUUUUCCUUUUUUUGUUGUUUUUAUUACGUGUGUUUGUUGUUGUUGUUGUGGCUCUGCCCUCUAUGCUGCUUAUACGGGUGGGGCCUCACUGUGACCCCCCCCACCCGCCCAGAGAGGAAGAUAAAACUCCCUUUUUCCUUUUUUUUUCUUUUAUAUUCCUGCUGCCUCUUUCGCUCAAACAGCAAAGUGCAGCCACAGCGAAGCUCUCCGGGCCCCACGGCCAUGAGUGUGCGAGAGUGUGCGAGAGUGUGCGAGAGUGUGUGUGUGUGUGUGUGUGUGUGUGUGUGUGUGUGUGUGUGUGUGUGUGUGUGUGUGUGAGAGAGAGAGAGAGAGGCCCUUUUAUGGCAUAACACUGCUGAGAACAAAAACUGGUUAUGUGUGUGUGUGAGGGAGAACUGAUGAUUACUGUACAAAGUAAACCUGUUUUUAUAAUGUAUAAUUCUAUUAUUUAUUAGCGAUACCUUUUUUUUUCUUCUUUUUUUUAAUAACGGUUUGUUUGAGUGGCUGAUCCCGGCUUUUAAAGGAGACUAUAACAAAGUGGAGUUAAUUAAAUGUAAGAUGAUGAUUAUCUAUUCGGGGGGGAGUUGGUUAUAAAGCGAUUUUACUUGUGAAGUUGAACUGGAAACACUGAAGUGUUUGUGAUGGGUUUUGGGUUUCUUUGGGGGGGGGGGGGGGGGCUGUAGCAAGAAAAGGGCGCCUCCUUUGUAUCCCGACCUCUGACCUCUGGGGGUUACUGAUGCUGUACGAGCCCCCCCCCCCACAUGCUACACCUUCAUCAGGCUACCUCCGUUUUUCUAAACUGCUUGAAUUUUGGAUGAGAAUACUGACGCAGUUCUGCACAGGCCGUCGUCAUGUUUACAUUGGCUGUCGUAUUGUUUGAAUAACUUGUGCCCUUUUUAGAGAUUUUAAUUUUAAUUUUUUUUUAAACUGCUGUUGCUGGUUCACCUCUAAACUGUUUUUUCCCCCCCGAGAUCUGACUAAAGUGAAGUUAACGUUCUUUAUGCAGCCAGACGGGGAGGAAUGUGAAGGAACAGGCGGCUAGUGUGUCCUCUCGUCUGGUGUCUCUUUUAAAAUCAUGUUUUAUGCACCUCGGCUAAUAAUACAUUAUAUAUACAUAUAUAUACAUACACAGAUGCUUUUAUUGUGCUCAAUUGUUCUAAGACGAUGUUGCAUUUUUUUAUUUUUUUUAUUUCCGAGUCAAUUAGAGCUAACCGAUUAAUUCAUAAAACCUUUCACACCUUGUCGGGAACAAGCAAAACUAAAAAAUGGCCUCCGAUGCGGCUUUAAACGCCGCACCAGGUUUAGGGCGCACUGAUCUGACGUCAGUUAUUAAGAACGACCCGACGUGUGCACUGAGGAACGUUACGGUGCGUUCAGGGGUCUUAUCGGUAACAACGGUAUCGGAACAACUCGUGAGGUGCUUGUGGAAAAAGUUUUUAUUUAUUAAAAAUGUUGCACACGAUUCUAUUCAUAAGUGGUUUAUAAUUUAAUUGGGCGGAUGCAUAAUUUAAGUCUGAUUAAGAAGCUUCAUUGAAACUCUUUGAGGUUUUACAACCGAUACGUUUGGGCUCAUUAAUCGUUUCUUCAUUCACGGCUCGUUAAGAGAUGAAAUGGAGACUUAAUUGCUACUGAAACGUUUUUAACUCUAAAGUAAUAAAACUAACAGUCAGUUGUGGGGCCGUGUGAUCCCUCGUUUAACCUUUGACCCCGAACACCUGCUGAAAGAAUGUAAAACUUCAGGUCCCUGAACCCCCCACAGAAUGUAUUUUCCUCCCAAAUCACCCGUCGUCUGCUGAAUGUCGUGACGAACAAAUCCAUUAAACUAAACGCCGACUAAAUAUCCUUCACGGUAUCGCGACACUAAUUAAAAUGCACUCGUUAACCAGGUUUCAUGUAGUUUAGGAAGCUUUAGUCUCGUCUGGAAGGUUUUAUUUUUCUCGCAACGUGAAUUUGAUUUACAGAUGUUUGACAUUUUGGUGAAGAUGCUGAAAAUUAGAGCCGGAAACGGAGGUCUAGAGGUCCUGCAGGUAACCUAGUUACCGUUUUGUAACACACACACAAGCGCAAGACUUUGUACUAAUUUUCAAAAUAAAAGAGGCUUUGAUAC